CUUCAGCGAGCCCAGCCACAGCGGCUGGUCGGCGGGCCGGUCCUGGCCGUACGCGGCGAGCAGCGCGUCGGCUUC
rnacentral:antisense_RNA from 1 species